rnacentral:ncRNA from 1 species
AAAAGAGGAGCGGAAGAACAUGAGUACCGCGGCCGGAGAGGAAUGAGGGUUCCUUGCACGACGGGCGCGGGAAAGGGUAUCUCCGCCGAAGCGUAUCCCGGCCCUCGGCGGAUAUGCUGGGUCUGCGGGAGAACACCCGCUUUCCUGUCACCGUCCGCGGUGAAGCGCUUUUU